CCCCCCGUAGCUCAAUGGAUAGAGCAACGCUCUUCUAAGGCGUUGAUAGGGGUUCGAUUCCUCUCGGGGGGA
rnacentral:tRNA from 4 species